rnacentral:rRNA from 1 species
ACCUGCGGAAGGAUUUAUUUUCAGUAGUCGCCCGGGUUGCCGCAAGGCCUCCCGGGUAACCUACCACCCUUUGUUUAUUACACUUUGUUGCUUUGGCAAGCCUGCCCUCGGGCUGCUGGCUCCGGCCGGCGAGCGCUUGCCAGAGGACCUAAACUCUGUUUGUCUAUACUGUCUGAGUACUAUAUAAUAGUUAAAACUUUCAACAACGGAUCUCUUGGUUCUGGCAUCGAUGAAGAACGCAGCGAAAUGCGAUAAGUAAUGUGAAUUGCAGAAUUCAGUGAAUCAUCGAAUCUUUGAACGCACAUUGCGCCCCCUGGUAUUCCGGGGGGCAUGCCUGUCCGAGCGUCAUUACAACCCUCAAGCUCAGCUUGGUGUUGGGCCCCGCCGCCCCGGCGGGCCCUAAAGUCAGUGGCGGUGCCGUCCGGCUCCGAGCGUAGUAAUUCUUCUCGCUCUGGAGGUCCGGUCGUGUGCUCGCCAGCAACCCCCAAUUUUUUUCAGGUUGACCUCGGAUCAGGUAGGGAUACCCGCUGAACUUAAGCAUAUCAAUAA